AAGGGGUGCCAUUAAAGCGAUGGCUGAGAUUAUACCCUAUUGACCUGAUGCGGGCAAUGCCGCCGUAGGGAUUGUUAAGAGU
rnacentral:ncRNA from 1 species